GGAGAAAGCAGUGGGAAGUGCUGUAGUCCUGAGAAAGCGGGGAGGGGGAUGCAGCUUUCCAUCCUGCUGAGGAGAGAAGAGCAGGAGAAAAAAAAAAAAACUGUCCAGCUGAUCCUUUAGCUCUCUGGUGGGCACCUAGGAGAAGUUUGGCAUGAAUUUAAACCUCACUCCAUCCAGUUCAGGAGGUUGGUGUAGGAGAGCUAUAAGUCAACUUGGGUAUGGAGACCUAAACCUACUCAUGGCCCUUUGGUUCUGAAGUGAGACUUGGUUGCACCAGAAAAAUGAGUAGAGACUAGCAGACAGAAUGAAGGAUCUCACAGCACAGGAACAGAGAGGCACCUGCGGAGUUCAGAUCAAGGUACCAACCAGCAGGGUGGAAGGCUGUGAGCCCUAGCACCUUCCCCGGUGCUCAAAUCACAGCUAGACACAUCCUUUCCCAACUUCUGUUCUCCUUUUGCAAAUGCUGCAGAUAGAACCUAGGGCCUCCCGCUGCCUAGCCAGCCAGCAGCCCUCACUACGAAGGCGGAGCUGUUUCAGCAGGAAGAAGAUCUACUCCGGACCCAGGCAGGGCCACAACAGACCAUCUGGAAGGUUUUCCAGUUUCUUAAUGCAAAUUAUGAGUCCUCAUUAUUUUCCAAAAGGAAUCCUCGGCAGAUAAACUGGGCAGUGUUCUCUACAAAAGAAAACACAAAAAGGACAGUUGGAAGAAAUUCAAAAGAAAAGAACCCAUUGGUGCAAUCGAAUCCCAGCCAGCAUCACUGGUGCCUCUCUUGCUGAUAAAAUGGCCAAGAGUUAUCAGAAACCGGAAGUUCAGAAAGCUCAGCAGCAGCAGGUUGUCAGGGCUGCCAAGGAAGAAAAAACAAAACAAAACAAAACUAAGGAGGCAUCAAAGAAGACAGCCAUGGCUGUUGCUAAGGCCCCCAUGAGAGCAGCACCUAAGCGAGAUUGAAAAGCCUGUGAAGGUCUCUCGGGGUCGGUAGAAAACAUUCAUUUGGUAGAUGAGAAUUUAAAAUAAAGAUCCAUCUGUAACUCUUCCUCAAUAUGAGAGCAAUUGAGGAAGACACUCCA